rnacentral:lncRNA from 1 species
GUAAUGUAUUUUUUAUUCUCAAUAUUUUUAAAGGCUACUAAUUAUACAUACAAUUCAUCGUUCAUCUAAUUCAAUUAUGUAAUAAUAUGUGAACAUCCAAUUACUUAAAAAAUUAGACACAAUGAUAAGUAUAUUUGUGUCAUACUUGUAUAUUUUCUAAUGAUAAAAAAUUAGGGAAAACAAAUCUAGUACUAUAUCUUCAAGUUGCCUUCAACACUGCACCAAAAAUUCUUGAUCUUCAUGGCCUGCACCAAACAUUCUUUAUCUUCACAGCCUGCAUAUGAAUUUAGAACAAAAAUAUAAUUGUGUUUUGCUCUUAGAAAAAAUAUUAACCACCAUUAAAUAUAUAUCUAGUACUACGAUUACAAGAAUAAUAUGCUAAAAAAAAGUAAAAGAAAAUUAAAAAGAAAAAACUCAAUGAUAUAUUCUGAGAAACUAGUGUAACUAAAAAAUCACAAAACAAAAAGUUUAGAAUUUUAAAAAGAUAGCAAGAGAAAAAUAAAUAAGCAAUAAUAAUAAUAAUAAUAAUAAUAAUAAUAAUAAUAAUAAUAAUAAUUUGAAAAACACAAACCUCUGUUUUUGGUGAGGUUACAAAACUGGGUCAGUGUGCGGUUGGCCAAAACCUAGAGGUGCAGCCGUGUAGGAGUUGGGUCUUCUUCAAUUGGGAGGCAUUAUUUUAUCAUCUCAAAUCCAACAAAAAAA